GGAGUUGUAGCUCAGUGGUAGAGUGCUGGCCUAGCAUGUAUGAGCCACUGGGAUCAAACCUCAGCACCA
rnacentral:tRNA from 1 species